UAACGCGUGAGAAUCUAGCUUCAGGUUCGGGACAACAGAGGGAAACCGCUGCUAAUACCGGAUAGGCCGAAAGGUAAAAGAUUAAUCGCCAGAAGAUGAGCUCGCGGCCGAUUAGCUAGUUGGUGGGGUUAUAGCCUACCAAGGCGACGAUCGGUAGCUGGUCUGAGAGGACGAUCAGCCACACUGGGACUGAGACACGGCCCAGACUCCUACGGGAGGCAGCAGUGGGGAAUUUUCCGCAAUGGGCGAAAGCCUGACGGAGCAAGACCGCGUGAGGGAGGAAGGCUCUUGGGUUGUAAACCUCUUUUAUCAGGGAAUAAUCAAUGAAGGUACCUGAGGAAUCAGCAUCGGCUAACUCCGUGCCAGCAGCCGCGGUAAUACGGAGGAUGCAAGCGUUAUCCGGAAUCAUUGGGCGUAAAGCGUCCGCAGGUGGUAGUUCAAGUCGAUUGUCAAAGGCAGUAGCUUAACUACUGACAGGCAGUGGAAACUGAAAGACUAGAGUGCGGUAGGGGUAGAGGGAAUUCCCGGUGUAGCGGUGAAAUGCGUAGAGAUCGGGAAGAACACCAGUGGCGAAAGCGCUCUGCUGGACCGGCACUGACACUGAGGGACGAAAGCUAGGGGAGCGAAUGGGAUUAGAU
rnacentral:rRNA from 1 species